UACGGGGGGGGCAAGCGUUGUUCGGAAUUACUGGGCGUAAAGGGCGCGUAGGCGGCCUGCUAAGUCGGAUGUGAAAUCCCUCGGCUCAACCGAGGAACUGCAUCCGAUACUGGCGGGCUUGAAUCCGGGAGAGGGAUGUGGAAUUCCAGGUGUAGCGGUGAAAUGCGUAGAUAUCUGGAGGAACACCGGUGGCGAAGGCGGCAUCCUGGACCGGUAUUGACGCCGAGGCGCGAAAGCUAGGGGAGCAAACGGG
rnacentral:rRNA from 1 species